UACCAGCUCUCCGAGUGGUGUGGAUGUUUAUUGGGCCUAAAGCAUCCGUAGCUGGCUGGGCAAGUCCCCUGUUAAAUCCACCGAUUCAAUCGUUGGAGUGCGGGGGAUACUGCUCGGCUAGGGGACGGGAGAGGCCGACGGUAUUUUCGGGGUAGGGGUGAAAUCCUAUAAUCCCGGAAAGACCACCAGUGGCGAAGGCUGUCGGCUAGAACGCGCCCGACGGUGAGGGAUGAAAGCUGGGGGAGCGAACCGGAUUAGAUACCCGGGUAGUCCCAGCUGUAAACGAUGCAGGCUAGGUGUUUGGGCGGCCACGUGCCGCUCUAGUGCCGCAGGGAAGUCGUUAAGCCUGCCGCCUGGGGAGUACGGCCGCAAGGCUGAAACUUAAAGGAAUUGGCGGGGAGCACCACAAGGGGUGAAGCUUGCGGUUU
rnacentral:rRNA from 1 species